rnacentral:misc_RNA from 1 species
UAGAGAACCUGCCUUUGAGGUAGAUCUCCCACCCUUUGUUUACAUUACCUUUGUUGCUUUGGCAGGUCCGUCUCUUUUGACCACCGGCUUCAGCUGGUCAGCGCCUGCCAGAGGAUCUCCAAACUCUGGAUUUUGGCAUUGUCUGAGUUUAUUAUAUAAAUAGUUA